GACGAUGGGUGGAAAGGAGCUUAUUACGUUGAAGGGUGUCAACGUCCGAGACCAGGGUUCGAACACGUUGUUCAUCGGUGUGUCACAUCUGAUGGAGGCCUAGUGACCGUUCGCAAUCUAUCGCACCAAGAUCUGGUCUAUCGAAAGGCGCAAAUCGUUGCGAGAGCUGAGCCUUGCGAGCAGGAAAGGACAGCUACGACGAAACACCGGUGGUUCCCCGAGGACGUGGAACACGGAAGCGUGGCCGACUGUUAAGUGAAGGGGGCGCUGCUGGUGAAAUUGGCGGGAAAUGAUGACGCGUGAGGCGCGUACGGGCAACGCCUAGUUAGUUGGAAGGACACGGUGGAAGUGUCAAUGUCGUUGUUGAAUCUAAUUUGCUAAUAAAUUAGUUUUUGGGUGAA